rnacentral:rRNA from 1 species
GAUGAACGCUGGCGGCGUGCCUAAUACAUGCAAGUCGAGCGAACAGACGAGGAGCUUGCUCCUCUGACGUUAGCGGCGGACGGGUGAGUAACACGUGGAUAACCUACCUAUAAGACUGAGAUAACUUCGGGAAACCGGAGCUAAUACCGGAUAAUAUAUUGAACCGCAUGGUUCAAUAGUGAAAGACGGUUUUGCUGUCACUUAUAGAUGGAUCCGCGCCGCAUUAGCUAGUUGGUAAGGUAACGGCUUACCAAGGCGACGAUGCGUAGCCGACCUGAGAGGGUGAUCGGCCACACUGGAACUGAGACACGGUCCAGACUCCUACGGGAGGCAGCAGUAGGGAAUCUUCCGCAAUGGGCGAAAGCCUGACGGAGCAACGCCGCGUGAGUGAUGAAGGUCUUCGGAUCGUAAAACUCUGUUAUUAGGGAAGAACAAAUGUGUAAGUAUCUAUGCACGUCUUGACGGUACCUAAUCAGAAAGCCACGGCUAACUACGUG